CAAGGUCCAAUAAAAAUUAAAAAACGUCCGGGCGGUGAAGCUAUUGUUGUUCAAGGGUACACAACUAAAAAGAACCCAAACUUUUCUCUAUACCUUCGAUGCCCACCUGCAGUCACUGGAAAAAUUGCCACUCACAUUAGCAUGAAAUUGUUAUACAACAAGAUUAAUUAUGUGGAAAUUGAUGGUAACAAUUUUGAAUAUUACGGGAAAUUUAACUUCCAAACUAAGCAGGAGUUUAGAUUUCAAAUAAACACUACUUCAGGAAUGACUCUGAUUUGUAUAAACAAAGUAUCAGACGAGACACGGUUACAUGUCAAUAGUUGUUAUGAAUAUUUGGAAGUUUACGGUGAUCUAAAAGUAUCUAAAGUCGAGGUAUUAUAAGAGGAUUAAAGAGGACAUCAAUUGUGUUUUAAGCUUUUAAAUCUUUUGGUAUCGGUAUUUUAAGAAAACAAACGAAAAAAAUGGGAGUAUUAAAUUUUGCAUCUCACUCACAUGCAUACAAACAAACACAUUAAACAUCCUAUGCAUACAAAUUCACACAUGCAAUGCACAUUUACCAAAAAAAAACUUGAAGUUUUGUUUGUUGUUUCAUACAAACACUAAUAAAAAAUUGUUCUUAAAACUUCACUUUAACACACAUUUUCUCGCACUCACACUUUUAUACACAUGAACUAAAAACAAUUAUACAUAUUUUUAAUUGGAGAAGGGACAUAAAGUUAGAGCAUUUCUAUAUUUUUAUUCGUUGUUAUCGACUACUACUCGUAAAAAGUUUUAAAUCAUUAAGACUAAUUAAAAUAAUUCUUUAUUUGUUUGUAUA